CCUACGGGAGGCAGCAGUGGGGAAUAUUGCACAAUGGGGGAAACCCUGAUGCAGCGACGCCGCGUGAGUGAAGAAGUAUUUCGGUAUGUAAAGCCCUAUCAGCAGGGAAGAAAAUGACGGUACCUGAUUAAGAAGCCCUGGCUAACUACGUGCCAGCAGCCGCGGUAAUACGUAGGGGGCAAGCGUUAUCCGGAUUUACUGGGUGUAAAGGGGGCGUAGACGGCAGCGCAAGUCUGAAGUGAAAUGCCGGGGCUUAACCCCGGAACUGCUUUGGAAACUGUGCAGCUAGAGUGCAGGAGAGGUAAGUGGAAUUCCUGGUGUAGCGGUGAAAUGCGUAGAUAUUAGGAGGAACACCAGUGGCGAAGGCGGCUUACUGGACUAUGACUGACGUUGAGGCUCGAAAGCGUGGGGAGCAAACAGGAUUAGAUACCCGAGUAGUC
rnacentral:rRNA from 1 species